CGGCGAAAGUCAAACGUGGACAUUUUCGAAAAAUGACAUCGGUCUAUCGGUCUCUUGUCUUUCUCGGACAAACAUUUUCCUCGUUAGGAGUCGGCGCUUUCAUUUUCUAGAAAUUUUCCCCAUGUUUUGGGUAAAUUCAUCUGCUUCAGCUCUUACUUGGUUGUUGAUUCCGAUUUGGUUUUAAUAUCCAGACUUGUCAAAGCGUAGGCGAAAGAGCAGCAGGAUUACCGUUUGAUUGUUGCACAAGGGAUGUCUUCAACGCUGGAUCUAUUGCUGUAUGUAGCUAAGAAAUAAUUGCCAGGAAAAAAAGAAUCAUAAUAAAUUAGGGAAAUUUGAAAUAAUAA